CCUGUCUUUGCAGGGAGAUUGGACUAGAUGACCUUUGAAGGUCCCUUCCAACCCAAACUAUUCCAUGAUUCUGUGUCAUUAUUUUUGUUAGAGAUUCUGACAAAUUAAGAGAUCCUUGAAAUGGAAAACUGGUUAUCGAAUCACAAAUUAUAUUAGGCCCACUUUGGAAGAAGACACAGUGUAGCAUUUAAAACUGUUUUCUAUUAACUAAAUGAAAUAAUAAUGGUUUUAUUCUUCUGAAAUUCUGUAUAUGUGCGUGUACACAAACGCACCCACACACGUAUCUUGUAACACUAAAGACUUUACUGGAAGUGUUUUCAUUGCUCAGCAGUGGACAAAAUAGAGAAAAAUCCCAGCUAAAGUAAAAAAAAUAAUCAUGAUGAAUUCUUAAUUCUUUGGAGAACUUCCUUGCUGGAAGGGCUUUCAAAUAUUGAACAAGAUUUAUCACUGUGUUAUAGCCUGAACAGAGGACUUGAUGCCUGACCUUUGGAACCAGCACAGAGUGUUCCAUUUUCUGAUGGAUUGUGUUAAAGAUUAAAAGGUUUUGAAAGUGCCAUAUAUUCGUCUCACAUACUGUGUUCACAAUCACUUUAUUUGGUGGUGUUAGAGUGAUUGAGCUAAUUGAUGGGAUGUAAUUGUUAAUAUGAAAAAUAAUUCUGCACAGUCCUACACAUCCUUAGUUGCAGCAUUAACUUAUGACAUCAAUGAUGAGAGGAAGGAAAUGGUGGAUCCAGGAUUAUCAUUUUGUUAAGUCUGGAGUAAAUCAAAUUGAAAUAAUAAAGUAAUCAUUUCUAAUGGCUAGGAAGAAGAAAAAGAGGAACUAGUUCUCAAACUACAGGAGAACUGUGCAAACUUUAUUCUUACUAGAGCAACACAGAUUUUCAAAUCUUAGGGAUUCAUAGAAUUUGUAAUUUAGCCAGACUGGCAAAUUUAGUUUAUUGUUUGAAGAGAUCUACUCUAAACUUUCACCAUGAUGGGUGUGUCUUAUUUAAGAAAAAAAUAA